CUAAAAUAUGACCUAGGACCCUAUUACAGGGGAAGCCGCUACAGUUAUUAAGGAGGGAACCCCCACCGUCUAUCGUGGAUCUUCCUCAUGAAAAAUAAUAGAAAACCCUAGCAACCUCUAUCUCCAUGGCAGCCGCAUAACACCAAGGAGCCCUAUAUUAUCGUCUUCCUCACACCUUAUCGUCGGAUAAGAACGCACCAACCAAAACCCAAUAGACCUUAUCGUUUGCUUCGUCUUCUGCAGCGAACAAAGCCAACCCCGAGCAUUCCUUCGACCAGACUUCCCGAAACACACACACAAAGCUACCGUUCCACCCUCUCACAUUUGUUACUACCAUGACUGGUCGGAAAUAUAGCAGAAAUAGUGACAGAAUGUGAGAGGUUGCCAAUCAUCGAGCCGUCGAGGUCGUCGAAGCUCAGUUGCCGGUUCGAGGUUUCAGUUUUGGUCGAAAAUUCUAUUUUUCUGGGCUUGUUGUUCUUGCUCGUUAGAUCACGGAAUAAAUGGUUGUGUACUAAAUGAUUUCUUUCCACUGUUACAUUGAAGAACUCUCUUAGCAGAACUUUUGCUUUCAAAGAUUUUGAUUUGAAGUAUCGCUGUCUACCAAGUUCCUUCGCAGCUCAUAUUUUCGUUGUUUGCUUGUCACUGAAUUUCGAGGCUCGUUUCUUGUGCUUAAACAAUUGUAUUUCACUUUUUUGCAUAUUAUUUGACUGAAAUUUAAGCUUCAGAUCUGAUUGUUUAUGUUUUUGUAUGAUUUUUUACAAAAUUAAAGUUUCUAGUUCAAGUUAUGCCGUUAAGCUUGUGUUGGAAUGCUAAAUAAAAGUAUGCUUGAGUUUGUCGGUUUGUGGUAGUUCUGCUUCAGGUUCAUGGGUUACUUUCAGCUCGUAUCUAAUUCACGUUGAAAAGGGUCCCCUCCCUCAUUGAGGUUGAAUCUAUUGACGAAGUUGUUUCUGUUUCAUCAUUUGGUUUGAUUUCGGGUUGUUCGAAUAUGGGAACAGAGUUUAGUCGAGGUUGAUUCGAGUUCAUUGCCGGUUUUAGAUUUUUGUUGCCGAUUUGGGGUUCUCGUCUGCGGUUCGUUUCAUCGCGAGUUCAAAGUAGUGAAACAAUGAAUUGUCCGGUUAUAUUGAGGUUCAACUCUUCAAUCCUCUACUUAUUUUAUUCUACCUGGCUGUUAAUCUCUUGCUUGAUGGUUUGGUUCUGUGAUUUGUUAGGCUAUUGUCUCCAUUUUGAGUUUGGUCAUGUAGUUACCUACUCGUAUGCUUCUCGAAUUGGUUAUAGCUGAACAUGAUUUCGCAUGG
rnacentral:lncRNA from 1 species